CACGUAUCACUGAAGUCUCUGCUUGCUUAGCUUUGUGGUCACCUAAUGAUUCAAAAGACAUUUCCGUAAAUGCCUGGAAGCAAUCAGUCUUCUAGCCUUCGCUGAUGGGUUCUGCAUAUGAGUUCAGGCAUGCCUUCAGGACUCCACCAGGCACUUGGUAAUUCUGCCUUAUCCUUCACUUUUUGCUUGAGCAGCGCCGAAAGGUGAGCCAGAGAUUUUGCACACGGGAGAACAUGAAUUUGGGGUGCCAGCUGGUGGAGUUUACUGGGUUAAUUAGUGCCACCCUUCAGCCCCCUAAAAAUGCCUGUUCAACUGGAACCUGUGAAUGUGACCUUAUUUGGAAAUGGGAUUUUUUGCAGAUUUAAUGAUGAGGUAAUCAUGGAUUAGAGGGAUCUAUAAUCUAAUACAUGGUAUCUGUGGUUUCCUCAUAGGAGGGAAAUUUGGACAUGGACACAUAGGGAAGACAGCCAUGUGGAGACAGAGGCAGAGGUGGACCUGCUGCCGCAAAACCACAGGGCGCCAAGUACUGUGGGCCACUGAGAAAACUAAAGGAGAGGAAGGAUUCUUCCCUGGAGCUUUGGAGAGGGUGCGGCCCUACUUUCACCUGGAUUUCAGACUUCAGACUUCCAGAACCAUGAAGGAAUAAGCUCUCUUUGUUUCAAAACCACUCAGUCAAGGCACUUUGUUACAACAGCCUAGGAAACUAAUACAGGAAUUGGUAUUAGUAAAAUCAUUAUUGUUGGCUCAUAUGACCAUACUCAUAGAACUUUUAAGAUAAUAUGUAAAUAAGCAACUAAAACAAAAAGUCAGAAAGCUUUAUGGUGCCAGAUCAAUAUACAAAUAAAUAUCAUUAUUUUCCAAUAAAAACAAUUAUAUAAUGUAACAAUAAUAAAGUAAUAAUACAAAGAAACUUCCCAUAAUAGCUACCAAAAAUUCUAAAGUAGUUAUAACUAGUUUUUAAAAAUAAUAUGUUCAGAAAUUUUAUAUAAACAAAUAUAAAUUUUAAGUUAAAAAGAAAAAGAAAUGGAUAAAUACAUCAUUAAUGAAGUUUCAAUCAAAAUUCAUACAUGAAUAUUUCACAGAAUUUGACAAGUAUAUCUAAAAAUUAUUUUAAAGGAGUAAAACGAGCUUGGAAUUAUUUGAAGAAGAAAGUAUUUAUCCUUUUGUAUAUUAAGAGUUAGCCUAAGUCUCCCGGGACUCAAUGGUAUCACCUCUCUAACAAAAAAGGUCACAGAGAUAUGAAAACACAUCAUAAAAAAAUCUAUCGUUUUAUCACACAAUGAUUUGAUCACCUGUGCACAUGGAAACAACCUUAUUUUAAAUCCUUGUUUAGAGUCAAUUUUAAGGGAUAAUGUUGCAUGUGAAGCUCCAUAAUCAUUCUUUUGUGUUAAGUGGUUGAGGAAAAUAUCAGGCUGGUGAGAUGUUAAUUAUAGGUCCAGGGAAUAACUUGAGUUAAUAAAUCAGAGAUGAGUCCAAAGUUCUGUAAACAAGUUUCAACAUUUCUGGGCACCUGAGAUUAAGCACAGCUCUGAGAAGUGCUCCACACGUUCCUAAGUAUAUGAUGCAAGUUUUACUUUGGCAAGAAAAUGUAACUAUAUCUAGUACCCACCUUAGGAACAUGAAUGACGAAAUGGAGAUUUCACAUUUGCCAGAUGAAUAGGACUAAUGUAGAAAAACAAAUCAAACUGUCCUUUACUCUCAGUCAACCCCCUUCUCAAUAACAAAAACAUCCACAUAUCCACAUUGUCCAUCUAUUUUAAGGUCAAUAUAGUAUGGAUAUUAUACCAACUUGCAAAAAUAAAUUAAACCACUUACCACAGGUAUCCUCCAACAUCAUUGGCACCAUUAAAUAACAUUCAUUCAGAACUACUUUUAGUGAAUGUAGAUACUUAAUGUUUACAGACGAGGAAAUCUGAAUGGUACGAAACAAACAGAGACUUGUUCAAGGUCUCACACUGACUCAGCAGCAAAGUCCACAUAGGAAGUGAAUGUUCCUGAAGUAGCACAUUUUGUUUGGACUACAAGACCAACUGAGUUAUUAUCUUUAUUUGAAAAUGAUUCAUGCAAGUCUGCCACAGAUGAAGGCAAGCUGUGGAAUUCUUACUCAAACUCUUUGUUGUUAUUAUGGGAAAGCUUCAAGUCUGGGGUUUUUUGUUUGUUUGUUUAAUACCUCAUAUUUGUUAUCCGAAAAAAACAAACAGCGUUCAUUCACCUGUCAAGCAACAAACGACUCUCCACGAGAAUGCAGAUUUUGAUCAAUAGGAGUUUUAUUACUUGGCUCAAGUAAGGGGAGCACUGGGUGUAUUCUCCAAAGCAGUGUCUCCCUGAGGGAAAGUGGCAGGAGGGUUUUAUGGGGUGAUGGAGAGGGGAGAGGGUGCAUUAUCGCAUGUAGAUGAGGGGUCCCAGCGGUGCAGACACAGUGUCAUCAUGGCAACACAUGGGUUACAUGUUAUGAUAACGGAACUACAGUUCCUCCAGGAUGGAGACGUUACAGUCAUGAGGAAGAUUCACCAGGGUUCAUCUCUAAGUUGCCAGGGUCUGUCAGGAGCUGGUUUCAACCAACUAGGUUACUAUAGUCCACCCAGGGUUUAGGGAAGAACAGGCUGCAGGGCAGGAAGCUGUAAAUCAGGCUGAUGGCUCACGUGGAUUAAACUCCUAUGGUUCCUAGAGACCCUCCUUGUCUGCUUAUAUAUCCUAGAACUGAAAAAUAAAUUGAAAAGUGAAGUGGUUAUGGUGGUCGCACUUCUGAAUUCUGGUAUGCCCCUCCUACCUCCCCCUACUAAGUAAAGAAAGAUAAAUCAGUCGUCUUAACAGUAUUUAAAACAGCCCUUCCCAAAAACUCAAUACAUGAAACUUUCUUUCUAGUUGAUCUUUGUACCAAAUGAUCUGGCCAAUAAAGGAAUAAAAUCUUUGAGCUCAAAUAACCAUGAAAAUGCAAUACCCGAUUUUCCUAAAUGCACUUCCUAAUGUGAAGGCCAUUCACAAAAGCAAAUAUCCACCCCAGAUUCUACUGGGUAUGAAACAUCUCAAUGACUGAUACUUCAUCUUAUCACCUGAAAAUUAAAUAAUUUUAUUACAAAAAGAAUUAGUAGAU
rnacentral:lncRNA from 10 species